AUGAACGUUGGCGGCGUGCCUCAUACAUGCAAGUCGCGCGAACGGACGAGAAGCUUGCUUCUCUGAUGUUAGCGGCGGACGGGUGAGUAACACGUGGAUAACCUACCUAUAAGACUGGGAUAACUUCGGGAAACCGGAGCUAAUACCGGAUAAUAUUUUGAACCGCAUGGUUCAAAAGUGAAAGACGGUCUUGCUGUCACUUAUAGAUGGAUCCGCGCUGCAUUAGCUAGUUGGUAAGGUAACGGCUUACCAAGGCAACGAUGCAUAGCCGACCUGAGAGGGUGAUCGGCCACACUGGAACUGAGACACGGUCCAGACUCCUACGGGAGGCAGCAGUAGGGAAUCUUCCGCAAUGGGCGAAAGCCUGACGGAGCAACGCCGCGUGAGUGAUGAAGGUCUUCGGAUCGUAAAACUCUGUUAUUAGGGAAGAACAUAUGUGUAAGUAACUGUGCACAUCUUGACGGUACCUAAUCAGAAAGCCACGGCUAACUACGUG
rnacentral:rRNA from 1 species